AGAACUUGCUGUUAAGCUCUCCUUUAGACUGGCGGUGUCAGAGGAGGAGGGAGGGCGGGUAACGUGCCCCUGCGUACCGCUUUCCCCAUCUUCAGAGCCGCUUUUUUGGUAUCUGUCUAAUGCUAAAGGAUGGAACAAGAUACGAUCUGCACUUGGAAGCAGCCAGAAACCCACGUAUUAUGCAUAUGAGGGAAGAUCACCCAUACAGCACAGAUCUGCAAUGAGAAUUGGGAGGGGAGGAGUCACUUCAGCAAAUUGUACCAUGGAUGCUCUUGCAUUGUGGAGGAAGGCACAGGCAAUUGGAUUUAACCAGCUGGGUGGAAUUUGAUUGGAUUAGCUUUGGCACAGUUUCACAUACUCUUUAAUUCAUCAGUGAAUGGAGUAACUAUAUUGGAAAGCUACUGGGGAAAACCAACAUUGCCCCUGAUGCUACUGUCGUAGGCAGAUAGAGCACAAUCCCAUACAGUCUCUCUCUCUGUUUUUCUCCCUUCAUUGUCUCCCUAGUUAGUUUUUUUGUGCCAGUGUGUGUCUUCCCAUAUCAGGAUUGGCUGCCUUUUCUUGGUCCGAGAUCUUGGCACGUAAGGAGCAAUAAUUACCUAAUAGUAUGGCUUGAUGACUACGAGCAAGGGUGGGAGUGCCCCCUCUUGAACAAUAAAAGCCCUUGUAGAGAAAACCCUAACUAAACAAAACAAAAUAAUGUGUAAAAACAGGCAGUGCUGCCACAAAGCACUUUGCCAGCUAGAGAGUCUAUAUGGAGUAUGAAUAAGAGCCUACUGUGUUUUAGUCCUUUCUGCUUGUGAAAGGUCCCAUUCUAUAAAGAGCUAUCUGUUAAUCUCCUCUGAUUUCAUACAAGUCUAGGCAAGUAUAACUUCUUUAGUUUCAAUGAAGCUAGUUCUAAUUUACACUAAGAAUGAGAUCUGAACCAGGCCCAGCAGUAUGGGAGAGCAUGUUCAGACAGAACUGUUUUCUCUCAAAUUCAUCUUAAGAAAAUAAAAUAAACCACUUUCACCCAACUCUCAAUACCUAGCAAUUUUGAGUAGCAGUCAUGGCAGCUCGCAGUAGAAACAUUUAUGUGUAGUGUGAGCUUACAAGUCCUGUAAUAUGAGCUAAUAUAGGUUAAUAUGCAAGGGAUUCAAGUAUUCAGAAACAUAGCUCACCAGAAAAGCACAUGUCUCUACAUACAUUUGCUCAGGCUGAGCCCUCUGUAUGAAGAAGAGCAUGAGGGAAGUUUAGUACUUCAGCCUACAGCUCCCUGGAACACCAGCCUUUUUAACCGUAAUAAUAGAGGGCUUUGUUUAAAGAAUAGAUUUGAAGAAAUUAAAGGUUUCAGAGACAGGGAAUCAAGAUAAAUAUGGUGAACUGUACAGACUCAUUUCAAGAACUGUUCCUGUGAAACACAUUCUCAAACUGAGUAAAGUUCUGCUAAGUAUUAACAUCUAUGUUGAGUGAAAAUAGACUUUCCUCAGUUAAUUUUCAAAUCAAGAGGUGAAAUGAAAAAGUGAGGAAAUUCUCAGUAUGAAAAUUAAAGCUCCUGUAGUGUCCAAGUUUUCAACAGAGAAGUGUCCAGGCAUGAACCUUGUUGAUUUUUAGCAAGGUAUUACAAUUGUAAAUACCUGUAGGAACUCAUUUAGAAUUGCAGAGAGGCCAAAAAUCACCCUUCUCAAGACAAAUCCCCUGUGUAUAUGCCUGCAAAAUACAGAAAAUGGAAAUAUGGAUCUUAGAGGUAGAGAAGCAAAAAUUAAUUAAUGCACUUAACAAAUGAACAGCAGAUAUAUAAUUUUGAGUGCGUGCUUCUUAAAGAUUUUGUUCCGCUUCCUCAGGUCCUAUAUUGUAUUAAGCAGUACCCUUUCCUUUGAAAAAUAAUGUAAGAUUGAAAACUAUGCACCUAGAUGGGCCAAAAGUUUUUCUUUGUUUUCUAUUUGAACAGUGAAUUCCAUCCACUAUCAAUGGGCAUUGAUAUCAAUGUCCUUUGAGUAGAAAGGCUGGCCUACAAAAUUACUAAAAACAUUAACCUCUUUGUAUGAUUUCCAAAGUCCUUUCCCUCUCAAUGAAAAAGUACCCAGGACAUAAGCAAGCCUACAGAAUUAAAAUUGAGGGUCUCGUAUGAACAUUUAAAAAUUUCCCCUCAAAUACAGCAAAAGGUGGCACGAUUGUUAGAAUCAGUUUCCUCUAUUUUGGCAAAAAAAGGAAGAGAAGGCUUUAGCCUUUGACCAGGUGAAGCUCGCUUUUUUCCUUCAGUUGCUCUCAGCAAGCCUUCAGUCAGACACAUUGUAAGUCAUCUGAAGGGAAAGCUUGAACUCUUUCUUCUUGUUCAUUUACUAUGUUUUAAAUUACAUAAUCACAGAGAUAGUAUUACUGCUUGCUUUAUUUUUGAGAAUAACCACCCACUGAUUUGCACGCAGUCACAGAACCAAAAUUCAGUUUUCUGCUCCGCUGCAGACUGUGCGAGACUUUUGAAAACCCCUUCGUUCCUGUUUCUCAGAUCCCUUUCAGUGAAAUGGGAAUAAUAUAAUCUCACUAUAUGAAAGGGUAUUUUUAAGACUAAAAUCUUUAAAACAGCAAGUUGUUCAUGGGUUACAGGAAAGGGGAUCAAAUAAAUAAAAUAGCUAGAUUACUCUGUAAUUGUAGAUAUGCUAUCCUAUCAUGGUACUUAUGAUGUGCACGCUAACAUUGCUCGAUGCAGACAGUGCCUGUACCUGUCAUUACAUGUGAAACAAAUUCUUGGCUGUUGUAAUGCAUUUUGCCACUUGUGUAGCUUAUUAACUUUGCUGUCAUCAUCACUCAACAAGCAAAUACAUCAGUUGAUAGAAGAAAUGCCAACGUGAGAAUAGUAAGUUCAUAGGUUAAAAAAAGUCAUCUAUUCUCUAUAAAAGGACUUGGUAUAAAUCACCAGAGUUUGCAAAAUGGGCCUGGGAAAAUUAGUCACUGACCUACAAACACUUCCCACUGGAUGUCUGUGAAUCCAUUUCACACGGUUAAAAGUGACAAGAACUAAAGCAGAUGAAGAAGCAGGACCAUAUGGUACAGUAAAGAAUAGAGUGUCCUAGCAAACAUGAAAAUGAAACCAAGAAGUACAAGUAAUAAAAAUACAUUAAUACUAUUGUGCAAUUAUUCUAAGUAAUCAAAAGGCAAAAUGACCCAUUUAAAGCUACUUUUUAAUAAAAAUAAAAAUCAGGGAAUCUAAACUCUUAAUGAGGAAAUUACUAUAUAUUUUCACUAUCCUGCAGUCCUUGUGGCAGGUCUGGAAUUUUGGCAGCUGGCCAGCCAGAAGGCCUUGUGAUCUGCCACUGCAUCUAGCAAUGUGUGGUUAAACAGGGAACUCAGCACAGCAAUUUCUGCUGACUAACAUUGGGAAGAAUCUAGUCAAUUUGAAUUAUACUUCAAAUUGAAAAGAAUAUAAUUAACAAAGACAUUUUUGUCUCAAAUAAGGAUCUAGCUUGUUGUUUUUUCCUUCUAAGUUAAUGCUGCCCUGCACUGCUGGAACUCUUCAGCUAACACUUUACCAAAGUGUCCUCUCCUGAUAGACCUCUGUCACUCAUAAAAUGCCCCUUCAGGAGCGCUACAGGAGAUAAAAUAUGUGCAUUAGAACAGGUAUUUUCUUAAGCCCAGUUCACUGCAUCGCCAGGUUUAUUGUAGCAUAAUUUUGUUGCACUCAGGAGUGUGACACUUCAAACACACUGACUAAUUUGGUGAUGAGUGUCCCUUUACUUUAAAGCUACUUAACUGGAAAGGAUUUAGAGACACAGGAUUUAGAUUUUUACAUUCCAGGGACUUUGAACUGCCACAUAUUUUGACAAUUAAGUUCUAAUAAAUAACAUAAAAGCAUAUUACAACAUAUGACUAUAAAUUGCAACCCUCCUAGAUACACUUGGCUCCAAACUGAGAAGACAGGCCUCCUCAAAUUCAUUUUUCAAAACAGAAAGGUAUCUUGUAUAAUACAGGACAGAAUAUCUGUCUAUAAGCAUAUGCAUGUUUUCUUCAAAUUUUAUUAUAAAACUUCUAAAACAGCAGCAAGAUCUUUCCAAUAAAUAGCAAAAGCAUAAUAAAAAAAGACUUUUUUUUGUUUCUGCAAUCUCUAAGUUAAAAUAAUUUCUAACACUGGGUGAAUUACAUGAAUUGCAAAAUUUGGUACAAGAUUACAAAGCAAAAUUCUUUCUUUGGCAUGCUUAGGCAAUUCACGUCAGAUGUUCACAGUUACCCCUUAAAGCUUUAAAGCCGAUGAAAUCCAGCCUUUGGACUUUAUUAACGUAUUCAAGUUAUACAAAGUCUCUAACCUCAACCUUCGUUGUCUUUGUCCAUAAUAAAGUUGCUAAAGAUACAUCUCAUUGUUUAAAUACAGUGGUUUAUCCAUCAUGA